rnacentral:misc_RNA from 1 species
GAUGAAGAACGUAGCAAAAUGCGAUAAGUAAUGUGAAUUGCAGAAUUCAGUGAAUCAUCGAAUCUUUGAACGCACAUUGCGCCCGCCAGUAUUCUGGCGGGCAUGCCUGUUCGAGCGUCAUUUCAACCCUCAAGCACAGCUUGGUGUUGGGACUCGCGUUAAUUCGCGUUCCUCAAAUUGAUUGGCGGUCACGUCGAGCUUCCAUAGCGUAGUAGUAAAACCCUCGUUACUGGUAAUCGUCGCGGCCACGCCGUUAAACCCCAACUUCUGAAUGUUGACCUCGGAUCAGGUAGGAAUACCCGCUGAACUUAAGCAUAUCAAUAAGCGGGA